rnacentral:lncRNA from 1 species
AGAUUGGCUGGAAAUAGGAGGUUAUUUCCUGAACAAUAUGUGUUUCCUCAUAUAAGGCAGUGCCAGUGGAAUUUUCUAAUACAGUGAUACGGUUUCUAGCUCGUUUUCCUUUACAUACUGCAUGAAAAUAUCUAGAGUUCCUAUCUCCCGCUGCCAGCCACAUGAGUCUGCUCCUCUGUCUCCAAAACUCUUCUUCAUCUCUAUAUGCUUUGAGGAGUU